rnacentral:lncRNA from 1 species
GCUAGAACUGCUCAUGUGCAGACUGUCAGGAAAGAGAGAGAGGACCCCACAAUGGAAACUGCUGCAGUGGGUACCAAGCCUUCAGGAGCGCAGAUGCCUGGAACUUACCAACCUGCCUGGGUGUCCUGAGGGCUGAGUUCAGAUGUGUGUCACCACCCUCAGCUCUCACAGAUGUAAGGGUCCGAAGAUUGCUGAAGGAAGAUUCCACACUCAGAUAGCAUGCAAAGACAAAGAACAUUUAUUUUCCAGAAACAUCCAGCAUGCUAGGGUACCAUUGUUCAGAAUGACAACCCAGAGAGAGAGAUAUGUUUGAGUCCCUUUUAUAACAGGACUGCUUAAUUGCUUCUGAGAUAACAGCACACUUCUAAAACUUAGGGCUACAGAAACCACUAAAGGUUAUAAAGAAGAUAUAUACCACAGGACCCUAGGUGCACAAACAGGAGAUAAGGUAUUGAUUGGGUUUGUCUAAACAAAACUUCAAGGAUGGCUUAGUUACAGCCUUAAAUUUUCCAUGACACUGCAAGCUAGUAACCAAUGGUGAAAGUUAAGCCAGAUCCUAGUGUAUAUAUACGUGUGCAUUCUCUGUUAUAACCUCUUAUUCAAUUUAUGACUGAAUUUAUGUGCAGACCUGCAGUGAUCUUUUUACCAUGUGAACGCAUGCUCUGAGAGUUGUACCAGUACUGAGAACAAAGGACAGGGGUAAGUCCCCC